rnacentral:rRNA from 1 species
CCUACGGGAGGCAGCAGUGGGGAAUAUUGGGCAAUGGACGCAAGUCUGACCCAGCCAAGUAGCGUGAAGGAUGACUGCCCUACGGGUUGUAAACUUCUUUUAUAAAGGAAUAAAGUGAGGCACGUGUGCCUUUUUGUAUGUACUUUAUGAAUAAUGAUCGGCUAACUCCGUGCCAGCAGCCGCGGUAAUACGGAGGAUCCGAGCGUUAUCCGGAUUUAUUGGGUUUAAAGGGAGCGUAGAUGGGUUGUUAAGUCAGUUGUGAAAGUUUGCGGCUUAACCGUAAAAUUGCAAUUGAUACUGGAAGUCUUGAGUACAGUUGAGGUAGGCGGAAUUCGUGGUGUAGCGGUGAAAUGCUUAGAUAUCACGAAGAACUCCGAUUGCGAAGGCAGCUUACUAAACUGCCACUGACAUUGAGGCUCGAAAGUGUGGGUAUCAAACAGGAUUAGAUACCCUUGUAGUC